UCUGCCAGUGUCUGUGUCAGCAUGACUGUACCAGGUCACAAUAAUGGCUGCCAUCAAUGUCUCUGUCCCUGGAGAGGCCUCACUUCUCACUGAGAUGCCCACAGAACCUAUCAGGUGAGUCUCUUUUCACCAAAGGACUGUCAGCCUUCUCUAUG